GUGGUGUAGUGUAGCAGGUUAGGCACCAGUCUUCUAGGUGAAAAGGGGCAGGUUCAAUUCCCA
rnacentral:tRNA from 1 species